rnacentral:rRNA from 1 species
GUGUCAGCCGCCGCGGUAAUACAGAGGGCUCAAGCGUUAAUCGGAAUCACUGGGCUUAAAGGGUGCGCAGGCGGAUCAGUAAGUGUCUUGUGAAAUCCCACGGCUCAACCGUGGAAUGGCUCGGCAGACUGCUGAUCUUGAGCCCGGCAGAGGCGGUCGGAACGCUAGGUGGAGCGGUGAAAUGCGUAGAUAUCUAGCGGAACGCCAAAGGUGAAGACAGACCGCUGGGCCGGCGCUGACGCUCAGGCACGAAAGCGUGGGGAGCGAACGGGAUUAGAUACCCCGGUAGUCCACGCCCUAAACGAUGUGCACUAGGUCGAGGGGGUUUUGACGCCAUCUCGGCCGCAGUAGAAACAUUAAGUGCACCGCCUGGGGAGUACGGUCGCAAGGCUAAAACUCAAAGGAAUUGACGGGAGCUCACACAAGCGGUGGAGCAUGUGGCUUAAUUCGAAGCAACGCGAAGAACCUUAUCCAGGGUUUGACAUGCACGGAUUACUGAUCCGAAAGGUGAUGGACGCUCGAAAGAGUGGAACGUGCACAGGUGCUGCAUGGCUGUCGUCAGCUCGUGCUGUGAAGUGUCGCGUUAAGUCGCUUAACGAGCGAAACCCCUGUCGCUAGUUGCUAACGGUUCGGCCGAGGACUCUAGCGAGACCGCCGGUGUCAAACCGGAGGAAGGUGGGGACGACGUCAAGUCCUCAUGGCCUUUAUGCCCUGGGCUGCACACGUGCUACAAUGCCGGCUACAGAGCGACGCAAUGCCGUAAGGUGGAGCAAAUCGCACAAAGGCCGGCUCAGUUCGGAUUGUGGUCUGCAACUCGACCACAUGAAGCUGGAAUCGCUAGUAAUCGCGUAUCAGCUACGACGCGGUGAAUACGUUCCUGAGCUUUGCACACACCGCCCGUC